rnacentral:rRNA from 1 species
UACAGAGGUCCCAAGCGUUGUUCGGAUUUACUGGGCGUAAAGGGUGCGUAGGCGGCUUUGCAAGUGGCGGGUGAAAUCCCUCGGCUUAACCGAGGAACUGCCUGCCAGACUGUGAGGCUUGAGACCGGGAGAGGUGAGUGGAAUUCCCAGUGUAGCGGUGAAAUGCGUAGAUAUUGGGAGGAACACCAGUGGCGAAGGCGGCUCACUGGACCGGAACUGACGCUGAGGCGCGAAAGCGUGGGGAGCAAACAGG